UGGGAACCUUGAACCCCGUAGACCUCUUUCUUCCCUCUCGCUCCUUCUUUCCCGCAAACACAUCUCCUCUAUGUUUCCCGUAUAAAUCUCUCUUCCCGUAGACUCAUCUCCUCCUCCCAUAGUCCUCAUCUCCUCUAUCUUUCCCUCUCGCUCUAUCUUUCCCGUUUGGGAACCUUGAACCCCGUUGACCUCUCUUCCCUGUCGCUCAUCUCUCCCUCUCUCUUUCCCGUAUCUCCCCUUCCCAUAGUCCUCAUCUCCUCUAUCUCUCCUCCUCGCAACCUUGAUCCCCAAAUCUUGAACCUAGACUUGUCUUCCCUCUCUCUUUCCCGUAUACCUCUCUCUUCCCUCUCGUUCUAAACGACGGGCAGCCACACGAAUCUCGAAGCCGACAAUAAUCAAGUCCCAAAAUCAAGAUACAUUGAAAGGCUAAUUUUAUGCAAAUUCAAUAUUAGACAAGCGUACAACAGACGAAUCUCUAAUUCAAAGUAUAUAGAUGUCGCGGUUGAUCACUCGUCGUAGGAGUGUGAUCAAUGCGCCUCCCGCAUUAUCACCAUCAACGUCAUCAGUGUCGGUUCAGUUGCUCAAUGCACGGUGGCCUCACUGGCGCUGCAGUGAUUCGGAGCCUUCUGUUCACAAUUCCUCGUCAUCCAGCCACUUCGUCCUCAAAGCUUGAUCCCCAAACCUUGAUCUUGCUCCACCUUCGACCUCCCAACCACUUCGUCCAGCUGAUACCUAGUAGUUUGACGUAUCAAACCUAGAAGACUACUUAUUGUAGUUUUUUUUUUUUUUUUUUUUUUCCGAACAUCUUGUAUGUA